rnacentral:rRNA from 1 species
UACAUGUGGGGCAAGCGUUGUUCGGAAUUACUGGGCAUAAAGGGUGCGUAGGCGGCUUGUUAAGUCAGGGGUGAAAGUUUUCGGCUCAACCGGAAAAUUGCCUUUGAUACUGGCGAGCUGGAGUGCGUGAGGGGUGACCGGAACGAGUGGUGCAGCGGUGAAAUGCGUAGAUAUCACUCGGAAGGCCAACGGCGAAGGCAGGUCACUGGUGCGCAACUGACGCUGAGGCACGAAAGCGUGGGGAGCAAACAGG